UUUUUUUACUUUUUUUUUGUAUAAUAUUUCUUGAAUUCACCAAGUUCUGUCUAUGCUAUUCAAUCUUUUGUUAUCCUUGACAGGGUUUUGCUUGUUAUGACACUGCCACGAAGUAAAAUGAAAAUAAAAAACUGGACAAACGAAAUUGGAGCAAAUGAGCCUGCCUGCUGUUCCUCUAACUUAACUUCAUACCGCGCGCUGUAUACAGUCGAAGCCGCCACCGCUGCUGCUGCCGCCGUUUCUUCUAUUAUGUAUGUACUGACUGUGUUGUUGAUGAUGACAAAUGAAGUUGGUUGCACAUUUUGAAUACCAAAUGAGUCACAGGGAGCCACAAUCACAAAAUAUAUAGGUACGUGGGUUGUUGGUAGAGGUACUUGGAAUAUAAUGUACAUAUUGUAGAUGGGUUCUUUCUGUUUUGAAAAACAGGACACACAACGGACGGGACAGAAUGUACAUAUUUAUGUGCGGGUGGAUGGUAUAUUAUUAAGGAACUUAUAAUUGUAAUGAAAUAUUUAUAAAUGAGACGACAAACGGAUGAAGAUAUGGAGUCCGCAUGAGACCCAAGUUAAUUGAUGUAAACGAACUCAUUGUGGGAGGUCUGUUUGGAUUGGGAUUUUGGUAAUUUAUUAUGUUGGACUUAAAAAUAUAUA